UACGUAGGGGGCAAGCGUUGUCCGGAAUCAUUGGGCGUAAAGAGCGUGUAGGCGGCCCGAUAAGUCCGCCGUGAAAGUCCAGGGCUCAACCCUGGAAUGCCGGUGGAAACUGUCGGGCUGGAGUCCGGAAGAGGCGAGUGGAAUUCCUGGUGUAGCGGUGAAAUGCGCAGAUAUCGUGAGGAAGACCAGUGGCGAAGGCGGGUCUCUGGACAGUUCCUGACACUGAGGCACGAAGGCCAGGGGAGCAAACGGG
rnacentral:rRNA from 1 species